UAAGACGUAGGGAGCAAGCGUUGUCCGGAAUUACUGGGCGUAAAGAGCUCGUAGGCGGGAGCGUGCGUCCGAGAGGAAAUCUCAAGGCUCAACUUUGGGGCUUUCUCGGAUACGGCGCUUCUUGAGGGUAAGAGAGGAAAGUAGAAUUCCCGGUGUAGCGGUGAAAUGCGUAGAUAUCGGGAGGAAUACCAGUGGCGAAGGCGACUUUCUGGCUUACUCCUGACGCUGAGGAGCGAAAGCGUGGGGAGCGAACGGGAUUAGAUACCCCGGUAGUCCACGCCGUAAACGAUGGAUACUAGGUGUAGGAGGUAUCGACCCCUUCUGUGCCGCAGUUAACACAUUAAGUAUCCCGCCUGGGGAGUACGGUCGCAAGGCUG
rnacentral:rRNA from 1 species